GGGACCCGCACAAGCAGCGGAGCGUGUGGUUUAAUUCGUUGCUACACGAAGAACCUUACCUGGGUUUGACAUAUAGGUUGUAGGGAACUGAAAGGGACCGACCCUUCGGGGAGCCUAUACAGGUGUUGCAUGGCUGUCGUCAGCUCGUGUCGUGAGAUGUUCGGUUAAGUCCGCUAACGAGCGCAACCCUCGUCGUAUGUUAUAUGUGUCAUACGAGACUGCCGGUAAAAAGCCGGAGGAAGGUGAGGAUGAUGUCAAGUCAGCAUGACCUUUAUAUCCAGGGCUACACACACGCUACAAUGGUCUGUACAAUGGGUAGCCAAGCCGCGAGGCGGAGCCAAUCCUGAAAGCAGGCCUCAGUUCAGAUUGCAGUCUGCAACUCGACUGCAUGAAGCCGGAGUUGCUAGUAACCGCAGGUCAGCAAUACUGCGGUGAAUACGUUCCCGGGUCUU
rnacentral:rRNA from 1 species